UACGUAGGGUGCAAGCGUUGUCCGGAAUUAUUGGGCGUAAAGAGCUCGUAGGCGGUUCGUCGCGUCGGCUGUGAAAACCUGAGGCUCAACCUCAGGCCUGCAGUCGAUACGGGCGGACUUGAGUACUGCAGGGGAGACUGGAAUUCCUGGUGUAGCGGUGAAAUGCGCAGAUAUCAGGAGGAACACCGGUGGCGAAGGCGGGUCUCUGGGCAGUAACUGACGCUGAGGUGCGAAAGCGUGGGUAGCAAACAGG
rnacentral:rRNA from 1 species